GAGCCAGCCCCACCCUCCAAGGCCCAGCCGCCGUCUUCUGGAGAAGUCUGGGCUCCGGAGGAGAGGCCCGGGUUCGAGUCCUGGCUCUGCCACUACGUAACUCACGUGUAUCACUCGAGCUCCCUGGGUUCCAGAUUCCUCGUUCGCACAAAGGAUCCAACAGACCCUCGCGGCUACUGGAGGUGAGAAGCGGACCGAGUCCCAUGCGGGGGAACAUGACACGGCAACGAGAAAGACAGACAGCCGCCUUGUACGACAACAGAGCUGCACAAAAUGGGCUCCGCCAUCCUUUCUGGAAGGGGCAUGGAGCAGUGUGAGGAUGAGCGGAGCCCCAUCCAAGGCUUCUCAGGGCCUCAGUUUACCCCCUCUGGGUCACUAUCGUGAAGAGACCCAGCCCUGUGCCAAGGAAACCCCGCUGCCAGGAGUGAGUGAUGGAAGUCUGAGCCUCACAGCCUGCUGCCUCCUUCCCUCGGCAAGGUAA